UACGAAGGGGGCUAGCGUUGCUCGGAAUCACUGGGCGUAAAGCGCACGUAGGCGGCUUCUUAAGUCAGGGGUGAAAUCCUGGAGCUCAACUCCAGAACUGCCUUUGAUACUGAGGAGCUUGAGUCCGGGAGAGGUGAGUGGAACUGCGAGUGUAGAGGUGAAAUUCGUAGAUAUUCGCAAGAACACCAGUGGCGAAGGCGGCUCACUGGCCCGGUACUGACGCUGAGGUGCGAAAGCGUGGGGAGCAAACCGG
rnacentral:rRNA from 1 species